rnacentral:rRNA from 1 species
UACGAAGGGGGCUAGCGUUGUUCGGAUUUACUGGGCGUAAAGCGCACGUAGGCGGAUCGUUAAGUCGGGGGUGAAAUCCUGGAGCUCAACUCCAGAACUGCCUUCGAUACUGGCGAUCUUGAGUCCGGAAGAGGUGAGUGGAACUCCUAGUGUAGAGGUGGAAUUCGUAGAUAUUAGGAAGAACACCAGUGGCGAAGGCGGCCCACUGGAUCGGUACUGACGCUGAGGUGCGAAAGCGUGGGGAGCAAACAGG